rnacentral:rRNA from 1 species
CUCGUAGGCGGUUUGUCGCGUCUGCUGUGAAAACUGGGGGCUCAACCCCCCAGCCUGCAGUGGGUACGGGCAGACUAGAGUGCGGUAGGGGAGAUUGGAAUUCCUGGUGUAGCGGUGGAAUGCGCAGAUAUCAGGAGGAACACCGAUGGCGAAGGCAGAUCUCUGGGCCGUAACUAACGCUGAGGAGCGAAAGCAUGGGGAGCGAACA